AAGCACACUCAGGUCAUAGAUUUAGCCAUGCAAGUGUUAGUUCAGUGUAAACGAAACUGCGAAUAGCUCAUUAAUACGCUCAGAAUCUAUUCGACGGCGACAUUAGAUUGUCUUUAUAUGGAUAGCAGCAGUAAGUCUGGUGCUAAUACAUGCAAUGAUGUUUCUCUAGAAGUGAAUUAUAGAGGAAAAGUUGACCUUUAAAAGGCACGUCGUUCGACUGAGUGACCUAUCAGCUUGUACUUAGGGUCUUUACCUAGGUAGGCUAUCACGGGUAACGGGCGGUUACCGUCGGACUGCCGGAGAAGGCGCCUGAGAGAUAGCGACUAUACCUACGGGUAGCAGCAGGCGCGAAACUUUCCCACUCGAGACUUUCGGAGGAGGUAAUGACCAGUUCUAAAAAGAAUUUAAUUCUUUAUAGAUGGGGAUAGGCCUUUCCAGCCUAUAGCAGUCCAGCAGAGGGCCAGUCUGGUGCCAGCAGCUGCGGUAAUACCAGCUCUGCAAGUUUGCUCCCAUAUUGUUGCAGUUAAAACGCCCGUAGUCUGAAAUGGAAUUAAAAAUUCCUUGUGUCAUUAAGACGUUCACUGUGAACAAAUCAGAACGCUUAGGGUAUGGUACAUGAAUGACUCAGCGCAGUAUGAAACAUUUAUUAUUCAUUAGAAUAGUAAAAUCAAUGAGAGCCAUCGGGGGUAGAUCUAUCUUAUGGCGAUCGGUGGAAUGAUUUGACCCAUGAGAGAGAAUCGGAGGCGAAAGCGUCUACCUAGAGGGUUUCUGUCGAUCAAGGGCGAGAGUAGGAGGAUCAAACAGGAUUAGAGACCCUGGUAGUUCCUACUGUAAACGAUGCCGACAAAGGUUUGUCAUUAUUAUGGCAGAACUUUUAGAGAAAUCAUAGUUCUUGGGCUCUGGGGGAACUACGACCGCAAGGCUGAAACUUGAAGGAAUUGACGGAAGGGCACACCAGGGGUGGAGCCUGUGGCUUAAUUUGAAUCAACACGGGGAAACUUACCAGGACCAGUUGUGUAUAGUGACUGACAGCCUGCCGGGCUUUCAGGAUGUAUUUUUUGGUGGUGCAUGGCCGUUGGUGGUGUGUGGGUUGACCUGUCUAGCGUUGAUUCAGGUAACGAGCGAGAUUAUCGCCAAUUAUUACGAUCAUAAAGAUCUGUUCUAAUUGGGACUCCCUGUGUUAUUUAAGCAGGAGGAAGAUGGUAGCAAUAACAGGUCCGUGAUGCCCUUUAGAUGCUCUGGGCUGCACGCGUGCUACAAUGCUAAGAUCAAUAAGACUGCUAAGUUGAAAAACAUUAAGCUAAUCUUAUAAUCCUUAGCGUAGUUGGGAUUGAAGUUUGUAAUCAGCUUCAUAAACCAGGAAUCCCUUGUAAAUGUGUGUCAACAACGCACGUUGAAUACGUCCCUGCCCUUUGUACACACCGCCCGUCGCUCCUACCGAUUGGAUGGUUCGGUGAAAUUGCUGGAGUAAUAUUAUUUAUAAAAGCAAUUAAAUCACAUCAUCUAGA
rnacentral:rRNA from 1 species